rnacentral:rRNA from 1 species
CUCCGGUUGAUCCCGCCGGACCUGACUGCUAUCGGAUUGGUACUAAGCCAUGCGAGUCAUUGUAGCAAUACAAGGCGGACGGCUCAGUAACACGUAGUCAACCUAACUCGUGGACGUGGAUAACCUCGGGAAACUGAGAAUAAACCACGAUAGACCAUAGUGCCUGGAAUGGCUUAUGGUCCAAACAGUUUACUGCCAUGGGAUGGGACUGCGGCCUAUCAGCUUGUUGGUGAGGUAAUGGCCCACCAAGGCGAUUACAGGUACGGGCUCUGAGAGGAGAAGCCCGGAGAUGGGUACUGAGACACGGACCCAGGCCCUAUGGGGCGCAGCAGGCGAGAAACCUUAGCAAUGUGCGAAAGCACGACUGGGUCAGUCCGAGUGAUUCCUGAUAAAGGAGUCUUUUGCUUGUCCUAAAAGCACAGGUGAAUAAGGGGUGGGCAAGUCUGGUGUCAGCCGCCGCGGUAAUACCAGCACCUCGAGUGGUCAGGACGUUUAUUGGGCCUAAAGCAUCCGUAGCCGGCUUUGCAAGUCUUCGGUUAAAUCCACCUGCUCAACAGAUGGGCUGCUGGAGAUACUACAAAGCUAGGGAGUGGGAGAGGCAGACGGUAUUCAGUGGGUAGGGGUAAAAUCCUCUGAUCCAUUGAGGACCACCAGUGGCGAAGGCGGUCUGCCAGAACACGUUCGACGGUGAGGGAUGAAAGCUGGGGGAGCAAACCGGAUUAGAUACCCGGGUAGUCCCAGCUGUAAACGAUGCAAACUCGGUGAUGCAUUGGCUUAUGGCCAAUGCAGUGCCGCAGGGAAGCCGUUAAGUUUGCCGCCUGGGAAGUACGGACGCAAGUCUGAAACUUAAAGGAAUUGGCGGGGAGCA